rnacentral:rRNA from 1 species
CGAGCGGCGGACGGGUAGUAAUGUUCGGAAACUGCCUGAUGAGGGGGAUAACUACUGGAAACGGUAGCUAAUACCGCAUAACGUCGCAAGACCAAAGAGGGACUUCGGCCUCUUGCCAUCAGAUUGCCAGAUGGAUUAGCUAUAGUGGGUACGGCUCACUAGGCGACGAUCCCUAGCUGGUCUGAGAGGAUGACCAGCCACACUGGAACUGAGACACGGUCCAGACUCCUACGGGAGGCAGCAGUGGGGAAUAUUGCACAAUGGGCGCAAGCCUGAUGCAGCCAUGCCGCGUGUAUAAAGAAGGCCUUCGGGUUGUAAAGUACUUUCAGCGGGGAGGAAGGUGUUGUGGUUAUACCACAGAAUUGACGUUACCCGAAAAAAAGCACGGUACUCGUGCAGCAGCCGGGUAAUACGGAGGGUGCAAGCGUAAUCGGAAUUACUGGGGUAAAGGGCACGGCAGGCGGUCUGUCAAGUCGGAUUUAAAUCCCCGGAUUCAACCUUGGGAACUGGUUUCGAAAUUGGAGGUUAAAGUCUUGUAAAGGGGGGUAAAAUCCCGGGUUUUAGGGUAAAAUUGGUUUAAAAAUUUGGGGGAAUACCGGG